rnacentral:rRNA from 1 species
UACGGAGGGAGCUAGCGUUAUUCGGAAUUACUGGGCGUAAAGCGUGCGCAGGCGGUUGUGUAAGUCAGAUGUGAAAUCCCCGGGCUCAACCUGGGAAUUGCAUUUGAGACUGCACGGCUAGAGUGUGUCAGAGGGGGGUAGAAUUCCACGUGUAGCAGUGAAAUGCGUAGAUAUGUGGAGGAAUACCGAUGGCGAAGGCAGCCCCCUGGGAUAACACUGACGCUCAUGCACGAAAGCGUGGGGAGCAAACAGG